UGAGGGAAUAUUUGGGGACAAUGGAGGCAACUCUGAUCCAGCCAUGCCGCGUGAAGGACUAAGGCCCUACGGGCUGUAAACUUCUCUAGACGCAGAGCAAUAAGGGCCACGUGUGGUCCGAUGAGAGUAUGCGUAGAAUAAGCAUCGGCUAACUCCGUGCCAGCAGCCGCGGUAAUACAGGGGAUGCGAGCGUUAUCCGGAUUCAUUGGGUUUAAAGGUGCGUAGGCGGCUUUGCAAGUCAGCGGUGAAAGGCCCGGGCUCAACCCGGAAAGUGCCGUUGAUACUGUGAGGCUGGAAUGCGGAUGCUGUGGGAGGAAUGAGUGGUGU
rnacentral:rRNA from 1 species